rnacentral:rRNA from 1 species
UACGUAGGGUGCUAGCGUUAUUCGGAUUUACUGGGCGUAAAGCGUGUGUAGGCGGCGGCCUAAGUCCGUUGUGAAAUCCCACGGCUCACCCGUGGAACUGCUCGGUAUACUGGGUCGCUUGAGCCACGUAGGGGCUACCGGAACAAAUGGUGGAGCGGUGAAAUGCGUAGAUAUCAUUUGGAACGCCAAUGGUGAAAACAGGUAGCUGGGAGUGUGCUGACGCUGAGACACGAAAGCGAGGGGAGCAAACGGG